ACGUAUUUUAUUUUCCUGACAGCAUACAUUCUGAAUUGGGUGCUGAACUCACUAAUAUCUUUCUCUCUCUCACUCGUUCUCUAGGGAUUGGGGGAAAUCUAAUAUUCGUGCUUGGCUAGAGGCUGUCAUUUUAGAAACAAAGAUACAUUUAUUUUCCAACAGGAAGAUAGAGGUAGCAGCUACACAAAUAGAAAAUAAGAUCCAACAAAAGGAAGGAGGAGAAAAACUACUCAUCACAGAGUGUCCAGCACGCUCAGGGAAGUGAAGAAAAAGAGAUAGAGAAAGAGAGAAAGAAAAAAAAACAGAGGAAGACGAGAAGACAUAAGGAAAAACACCUCUUGGAUGCCACUUAUACUCCUGGAUUCCUGGAAGACAAGCAGUCAAAUAAAUAUUACAAAGCAUUAAGCAUACAAGGUGGAGGAGAACAAGGAAGAGAUCACUUCUGAGAUUUUAGUGAUGGCAGUGUGGAAAAUAAAUAACUCAUAAACAAGAUUAAGUCAUACGUUUUUGUGAAAAUAAACCAAACAAUACAUAAGAGAGUGACUGGUUAAGAAACUUUAUAUAAGCAAAAGAUGGGCUAUCUCACCAAGGAGGUGAUGUUGGAGGCAACCUUGUAAAUAACUGGGAACAACUAUGCCCCUGGAACACCAUGGAGAAGAACAUUCCAGGCCCAGCCCUGGAGGGAGCACAUGCUCAUUCAAAUAAGUCCUCUGUGUAGUUUGGACAGAGAAAAAUAAACAGGUUUAGACUCUAUUUCUGAGACAGGGC
rnacentral:lncRNA from 1 species